AAGGAUUUCUUCGGAAUGAAUUUGAUUAAGUUUAGUGGCGGACGGGUGAGUAACGCGUGAGUAAUCUGCCUCUAAGAGGGGAAUAACAUUCUGAAAAGAAUGCUAAUACCGCAUAACAUAUAUUUAUCGCAUGGUAGAUAUAUCAAAGAUUUAUCGCUUAGAGAUGGACUCGCGUCCGAUUAGUUAGUUGGUGAGGUAACGGCUCACCAAGACCGCGAUCGGUAGCCGGACUGAGAGGUUGAACGGCCACAUUGGGACUGAGACACGGCCCAGACUCCUACGGGAGGCAGCAGUGGGGGAUAUUGCGCAAUGGGGGAAACCCUGACGCAGCAACGCCGCGUGAAGGAUGAAGGUCUUCGGAUUGUAAACUUCUUUUAUUAAGGACGAAGAAAGUGACGGUACUUAAUGAAUAAGCUCCGGCUAACUACGUGCCAGCAGCCGCGGUAAUACGUAGGGAGCAAGCGUUGUCCGGAUUUACUGGGUGUAAAGGGUGCGUAGGCGGCUUUGCAAGUCAGAUGUGAAAUCUAUGGGCUCAACCCAUAGCCUGCAUUUGAAACUGCAGAGCUUGAGUGAAGUAGAGGCAGGCGGAAUUCCCCGUGUAGCGGUGAAAUGCGUAGAGAUGGGGAGGAACACCAGUGGCGAAGGCGGCCUGCUGGGCUUUAACUGACGCUGAGGCACGAAAGCGUGGGUAGCAAACAGGAUUAGAUACCC
rnacentral:rRNA from 1 species